AUGCUCACCGUGCCCGCAUCGCCGGAAUCAGCAGCGUCACAAGACAACUCAGAGGAAGAGGACCUUUGUUUGCUCUCGACUGCUGCUACUUCAGGAAUGGAGUCGCCCAGGGCCUUCCGUAUGUUGGGAACCUUACAAGGGAAGUCUCUAUUGAUGCUGGUGGAUUCUGGUUCAUCGCAUAGCUUCAUUAAUUCGGAAAUUGCCAAGGAUUGGCCAGAGGUGCAGGCCAUGUCCAAGCCACUGCGGGUGAGGGUUGCCGAUGGGGCUGUGACAGUUUGCAAUACUGAGGUACCGGGGUGUGAGUACCACAUCCAAGGACAUGUCUUCCAGUCAACUCUCAAAUUGUUUCCAUUGGGCAGCUAUGAUAUGAUACUUGGGAUGGAUUGGUUGGAAUCUCGUGGAUUGAUGAACAUCUACUGGGGUGCCCAGAGCAUGAUUUUUCAGCAUCAGGGACAGUUUAUUCAGCUGCGAGGAGUGUCUGUGGACGCACACAAAUGCCCGAGCAUCUCUACGGUUCAGUUGCAACUUCUGCAGGCUCACGAAGCAGUGUUUGCCUUAGUGCAGCUCUGUUCGGUGAAGCCAGAGGGUGAUUCAUCAAGUAUACCGGCUGUAGUUCAAGAGUUGCUUGCGGAGUUCUCGGAACUGUUUGAGGAACCACGCGGAUUACCUCCUCACCGUUCCUUCGACCAUGUUAUUGACCUGCUUCCAGGGGCGGUCCCUGUCAACAUCAAACCUUACCGGUAUAGCCCAGCGCAAAAAUAUGAGAUUGAGGCCCAAGUGGCUGACAUGUUGGCUCAAGGGAUCAUUCAGAUCAGCUGCAGUCCGUUCUCGUUGCCGGUGUUGUUGGUGCAGAAGAAGGAUGGAGAAUGGUGUCUUUGUAUUGAUUUCCGGCACUUGAAUGCAAUCACAGUGAAGAAUCGCUAUCCCCUGCCAGUGAUCGAUGAGUUGUUAGAUGAGCUGCAUGGAUCAAAAUGGUUCACUAGUCUGGACCUACGGUCGGGGCACCAUCAAAUUCGGAUGAGGCCUUUGGACGAAGCAAAAACUGCCUUCCAAACCCACCAUGGUCACUUUGAGUUCAAGGUCAUGCCGUACGGAGUGACCGGUGGUCCGGCAACGUUUCAGACCGGGAUGAACACCAUGUUUUCUCCUUACCUGCGAAAAGGGGUGCUCGUCUUCAUAGACGACAUCUUGGUUCACAACAAAACUUUGGAAGAGCACGUGGCCCUCGUACGGUCGGUAUUUAAAACUCUGAAGGAGAACCAAAUGAAAGUCAAAAUGAGCAAGUGCACAUUUGCGAGCGAUCGGUUGAGGUACUUGGGACAUGUCAUUAGCGCCGAAGGGGUGCAAACUGACCCCACUAAUAUUGACAAAGUGCAAAAGUGGCCGAGCCCACAAUCAGUGAAAGAAGCGCGCCAGUUCCUCGGAUUGGCAGGGUACUACAGAAAGUUUGUGCGUCACUUUGGUCUAAUCAGUCGACCGUUGACUGAGUUGCUCAAGAAGGGAGCGGUUUUUCGUUGGACAUCUGAUCAUGAGGAGUCAUUCGAAGCCUUGAAAAGAGCCUUGACCUCAGCUCCUGUUUUGGCAUUGCCAAAUUUCUCCAAGCCCUUCGUGAUGGAGACGGAUGCCUCGGACAAGGGCAUUGGGGCUGUGUUGAUGCAGGACCAGCACCCACUUGCGUUUCUAAGCCAAACUCUUGGUCCACGGCUUUGUACACUCUCUACCUAUGAAAAAGAAAGCUUGGCUGUACUCAUGGCUGUCGAGCAUUAG
rnacentral:rRNA from 1 species